ACACGUAUCUGGCAGGUGGAAUACCACAAUCAAGAAAGUGGUCUGCCCAGGGGGAGGCUUCUCCAUUGCAUUUUGAUUGGGUUUAUCCUUGUGAUUUCCCCAAAUGUGGGAAACCCAACUGCAUAAUUUAUGUUAGUGGGGGACUGCAUUCACACUGUCAUCUC